rnacentral:rRNA from 1 species
AACGCGAAGAACCUUACCUAGACUUGACAUCCCCUGAAUAACCUAGAGAUAGGCGAAGCCCUUCGGGGCAGGGAGACAGGUGGUGCAUGGUUGUCGUCAGCUCGUGUCGUGAGAUGUUAGGUUAAGUCCUGCAACGAGCGCAACCCUUAUCCUUAGUUGCUACCAUUAAGUUGAGCACUCUAAAGAGACUGCCCGGGUUAACCGGGAGGAAGGUGGGGAUGACGUCAAAUCAUCAUGCCCCUUAUGUCUAGGGCCACACACGUGCUACAAUGGUGAGUACAAAAAGAUGCAAUACCGUAAGGUGGAGCAAAACUUAUAAAACUCAUCCCAGUUCGGAUUGUAGGCUGCAACUCGCCUACAUGAAGCCGGAGUUGCUAGUAAUCGCGAAUCAGCAUGUCGCGGUGAAUACGUUCCCGGGUCUUGUACACACCG